UUUUUUAAGGUUUUAAGAUUAAAGAUUAAACCUUCACGAACGCUGGCGGCGUGCCUAACACAUGCAAGUCGAACGAGAAACCCCGGGCUUGCUCGGGGGAGUAGAGUGGCGCACGGGUGAGUAACGUGUGGGUAACCUGUCCUUAAGUUGAGGAUAACUUCGUGAAAACGGAGCUAAUACUGAAUAUAGCCUCUUGAACUACGGUUUUUGAGGUGAAAGAUGACCUCUUCAAGAAAGUUGUCGCUUAAGGAGGGGCUCGCAUACCAUUAGCUUGUUGGUGGGGUAAUGGCCUACCAAGGCUACGAUGGUUAGCUGGUCUGAGAGGAUGAUCAGCCACACUGGAACUGAGACACGGUCCAGACUCCUACGGGAGGCAGCAGUGAGGAAUUUUGCGCAAUGGGGG
rfam:Desulfobacteraceae bacterium 4484_190.1 ex4484_190.1_scaffold_16555, whole genome shotgun sequence.